rnacentral:rRNA from 1 species
CAGCAGCCGCGGUAAAACAGAGGGUGCAAGCGUUAAUCGGAAUUACUGGGCGUAAAGCGCGCGUAGGUGGUUUGUUAAGUUGGAUGUGAAAUCCCCGGGCUCAACCUGGGAACUGCAUCCAAAACUGGCAAGCUAGAGUAUGGUAGAGGGUGGUGGAAUUUCCUGUGUAGCGGUGAAAUGCGUAGAUAUAGGAAGGAACACCAGUGGCGAAGGCGACCACCUGGACUGAUACUGACACUGAGGUGCGAAAGCGUGGGGAGCAAACAGGAUUAGAUACCCGUGUAGUCCCUGUCUCUUAUAC